rnacentral:piRNA from 1 species
UGAAACAAAAAUAAAACGUUACUA